GACGAACGCUGGCGGCGUGCUUAACACAUGCGAGUCGAACGGAAAGGCCCUGCUUUUGUGGGGUGCUCGAGUGGCGAACGGGUGAGUAACACGUGAGUAACCUGCCCUUGACUUUGGGAUAACUUCAGGAAACUGGGGCUAAUACCGGAUAGGAGCUCCUGCUGCAUGGUGGGGGUUGGAAAGUUUCGGCGGUUGGGGAUGGACUCGCGGCUUAUCAGCUCGUUGGUGGGGUAGUGGCUUACCAAGGCUUUGACGGGUAGCCGGCCUGAGAGGGUGACCGGCCACAUUGGGACUGAGAUACGGCCCAGACUCCUACGGGAGGCAGCAGUGGGGAAUAUUGCACAAUGGGCGGAAGCCUGAUGCAGCAACGCCGCGUGCGGGAUGACGGCCUUCGGGUUGUAAACCGCUUUCGCCUGUGACGAAGCGUGAGUGACGGUAAUGGGUAAAGAAGCACCGGCUAACUACGUG
rnacentral:rRNA from 1 species